GCUAUAGCGAGGCGCUUGCCAAGUGCUUGGUGAAUCGCCUCAACCGGAUGUGGUUGUCGAUCUCGCGGAGUCGAGUCGAGUUUAGUCAUGGUACGUUCAUUGAUCACGUAAUGUGGAGGACAACAACUGGAAUAAUCUCAAGAUGGGACUGAUGAAUGAACCCAAAGCUAAAUGAUCUGAUCGUGCUGGAAUGGGAGGUGCUCGCCAAGCGAGUAUCAUCUAACAACACUGACUUAGUGUUUAUCCCAGGCAAGCCCCGGUGCAUUUGCCACCCCCUUGUUGUUAUAAAACUUUUAUCACUUAUAUGUUGCAUUAGGUGAUAGGAGUUAUGUGAAUAAACAGUUGAUGCAUUACCAUUCCUUGGAAUUUGAUUACUAUUCCUUGAUUCCUUUUUAUAAAAGAGAACUAAAGAUGCUUAGUCCUGCUUAGAUAAUUAAAAAGUUGUUCUUUUUAAUAAAGAUGAUGUGUUACACGGGAUAUGGGAAAUUUUUGUGAAAAAGAAAUUGGGAUGGUGAAUCCAUAUGGCCAUGAUGGAUUCAACAUCCAGAAAAAGUACCUCUGUCAGGUACCAAGGAUUGGGAAAUGAUUUAACUAAAAUGAGACCAGACGUUGAGCAGGAAAGGUCGCCCGUCUGUGUCGAUUAAGGACCGUUCCGAUUGUUGGCCUGCUGAUCUAGG
rnacentral:lncRNA from 1 species